AUGAUUGGCUCGAGAGAGGUUGUAUUUAUACAGCACCGAAGGGGUAUGCAAGAACUCUCAGGUAAAAGGAUCGGGUUAUGACG
rnacentral:ncRNA from 2 species